UUAUUUUGAUGAUAACGGUUUUAUUCGGAUCAAUUUUUUUAAAUAUUGUACGAGCCCAAUUUUACCUGGGCCCAACACACUCAAAUCAGACAAAAAUAAAACCAAAAUAUCUCAAAAGUCCAUCACCAGCCCAAAACCAAAAGUAGCCCAAAUACAAUUAAACCCUAGCCCAACCGGCCUACAAAACUUAACAAGCUUUCAGCAAAAAAGAAACCCUAGGUGCGCCGCACCUAGGUGCAGCCCUUGACCGCCACACGUCACCUCCACGCGUCGCACACCUCUGCCACCACCACCAGCUCUCCUGACAUCUGCAAGACAAGACAACACACAGAGAGAAGAAAACAAAUCGCAAAAAAAAAAACAAAAAACAAUAGAAAUAGAGAGUUGUUCAAAUCGGCUAUAAAAAGACUAAAUCUAAUGCUUGUAAUCUCUCUCUUUUUUUUACGAGAUUGAAAAAUAAAAACAGAAAAACAAAUUUCAAAGGUGACUUUUUUUCAUUACUGAUUCGUAUUUUUUUUCUAUCCAUUUUAUUUAUUUAUUUAUUUAUCCCUUUUUUAUACAAUAAAUAAGAAAUAACAAAAGAGGGAAGGAGAAGACUCACCUGAAUUGGCCCGCAGUCUCGCCGUCGGUGGUCCUUUCGCUGUCGUCGGAUUUGGGCUUCAAAAAGGGGUGGUCGGAUUCUUUGUUUUUCUUUUACUUUGUUUCCUUUUUAGGCUUUCGCCCUUUAGAUCUUUUUAUGGCUAAAAAAAAAGGAUUAAAAAGGGGUUCGGGUGAUUUUUCGACCAUCGUGGACGGCGGCGCCAUCGUCGGCCACCGGCAGCCGCCAUGGUGGUCCGGCGCCGGAGGCUGGCCCACUUCUAGAAAUUUUGAGAGAGGGGGAGAGGAUUUCUGAUUUGUUUUUUUA
rnacentral:lncRNA from 1 species